GUGAUUCUCCUCCCUUGGCCUCCUGAGCAGCUGGGAACACAGAUUCCACUACUGCAGGGCUCCAUAGAAGUCUUCAAUCUUCAACUCUUCAGUCUAUGAAAGCACAGAUUCCAGAAAGGAUGGCCUCAAAUGACCAGGAGUAACAAAUCUCUAUAUCCCUCGUCCCAAAAAGCAAGCCAACUGGAGUCUCCGUCACCUUCCCCCAGCACAGACACACUGCCAACUACCCAACUGAACUCCAUGACUGAUUUGCCAGACAAUCAUGCCCCUGACCCAGCCUACAUGGACAUGGGAAGGACAUCAGUGAAUUGGGAACAGAGGCAGAGGAAAACUGGGAGUACAUAGCCAACAGAAUUUGAAAAAAUAAUAGAACAAAAGAAACACAAAAAAAGCAGAGAGGAAAGCAUUAAAAAUCAAGACAAGAUUAUAGAAAAGUCAUGGAAAAAGAAACAAGACUUAAAAAAGUAUUAUGGAAGUCAACAGAACUCCUGGCCUAAAUGGAAAACCAAACUGGGAAGUCAAAUCAUUUCUCUCUAAGACUUGCCUAAACUUACUUUUGUAAAACUUCCAGUCCUAUGGCCAAAGCUAAGUAAGUUCUGCCCUAAAGCCUUUGAUGGUAAAAAUAAGAUACCGGUUACCACUGAAAUUGUCAAAUUUAUUAGGACAAACUCUUGGACUAACCACAUCUAACAAUAACCUUCAAUGAGAGUUUAAGGUAUUUAAACUCCCACUAAUUUAGGCAUUAAUUGAAUUAAUGAAUCUGAUUAAACUGAUUCAGACCUAUACCUUGAUCCAAUGGCUGCACAGAUGUCUAUCAAUCUAUGCUGAGGAGCAAGAGAAGGGAUUUGGAAGGCAGGCAGGCUGACGGUCAAGUUGUGGGCCAGCUUCUUUGUUAACUAUGGGAUCAUGAGGCAAUCAAUCAACUGCUCUAAUCCAUAGUUGUUUACUGAAUGAACAGUAGGUUAUAGGAACACAGAUGUUGUGAUGCCUUUAUGAGAUGAUAAAUGCAUAGAACAUAGCAGGAUGUCUAGCCCAGAAUACAACACUCAACAGAUAUUAGUUUCUUCCAUCUCUAUUUCCUUAGUUAACAUAAAUGUUUACAUCUAUUAAAUCCUACCUGACUGCAGAUUCAUCAGAACUUCCAGCAUCUAUUAAAGAAAAAGGAAAAAUGCAUUUUAAAUCAAUAAUAAAUGUACAGAAUAUUAAAAGCAUAAGAAUGCACAGCACUGCAGGCCUGUACUCUAAAGUAUUUGGGAGGAUGAGGCAGGAGGAUCACUUGAGGAACCCAGAAGUUUGAGACCAGCUCAGGAAACAUAGUAAGACUCUACCAUCAUAAAACAAUUGGGCACACUUUUGUGUAUGCUUUA